GGUGGUGGCAGGCCCAGAGGCUGUUGACAGGACCAGAGGCUGGAGCUCAGGGCUAGGCCUGCCCUGCUGCUGAGGCCCCGCCCUCCCCACCCUGAGGUGGGGGCCCACCAGGAUGAGCAAGCUGCCUAGGGAGCUGACCCGAGACUUGGAGCGCAGCCUGCCUGCCGUGGCCUCCCUGGGCUCCUCACUGUCCCACAGCCAGAGCCUCUCCUCGCACCUCCUUCCGCCGCCUGAGAAGCGAAGGGCCAUCUCUGAUGUCCGCCGCACCUUCUGUCUCUUCGUCACCUUCGACCUGCUCUUCAUCUCCCUGCUCUGGAUCAUCGAACUGAAUACCAACACAGGCAUCCGUAAGAACUUGGAGCAGGAGAUCAUCCAGUACAACUUUAAAACUUCCUUCUUCGACAUCUUCGUCCUGGCCUUCUUCCGCUUCUCUGGACUGCUCCUAGGCUAUGCCAUGCUGCGGCUCCGGCACUGGUGGGUGAUUGCGGUCACGACGCUGGUGUCCAGUGCAUUCCUCAUUGUCAAGGUCAUCCUCUCUGAGGUCAGUGGCUCAGGGUCUGGCCAGUCUGGUGGGCAUCAGACCUGAGUGGUAUGCUUCUAGAGAGGAGCAUUUCUCUAAUUUGGGGUGUCUGUCCCUGUUGUCCGGGUUAGGGGGAGAGGGAAUCCUGUCCUUUGGUAUCUAUAAGGAAUCAUCCUUCACCCGCUUCCCUGACUUAGCCCCUUGCAGCUCUAGGAAUCAGAAGGUUCUUUCUCCAGCCUAACCCCAGUUUAUCCUGCUGCAGACUUGAGAGGGUUCCCAAGCAGCUGCUACCAGGAAUGGGGUGUAUGCCAGUUUGACUGGCUAGAGUUGGUAGCCACAGAAGGGGGCUCUGGGUUUGGGGUGACCCCUGCCAUGGAGCUCAGCCCCCUCCCUUCACAGCUGCUCAGCAAAGGGGCAUUUGGCUACCUGCUCCCCAUCGUCUCUUUUGUCCUCGCCUGGUUGGAGACCUGGUUCCUUGACUUCAAAGUCCUACCCCAGGAAGCUGAAGAGGAGCGAUGGUAUCUUGCCGCCCAGGUUGCUGUUGCCCGUGGACCCCUGCUGUUCUCCGGUGCUCUGUCCGAGGGACAGUUCUAUUCACCCCCAGAAUCCUUUGCAGGGUCUGACAAUGAAUCAGAUGAAGAAGUUGCUGGAAAGAAAAGUUUCUCUGCUCAGGAGCGGGAGUACAUCCGCCAGGGGAAGGAGGCCACAGCAGUGGUGGACCAGAUCUUGGCCCAGGAAGAGAACUGGAAGUUUGAGAAGAAUAAUGAAUAUGGGGACACCGUGUACACCAUUGAAGUUCCCUUUCACGGCAAGACGUUUAUCCUGAAGACCUUCCUGCCCUGUCCUGCGGAGCUCGUGUACCAGGAGGUGAUCCUGCAGCCCGAGAGGAUGGUGCUGUGGAACAAGACAGUGACUGCCUGCCAGAUCCUGCAGCGAGUGGAAGACAACACCCUCAUCUCCUAUGACGUGUCUGCAGGGGCUGCGGGCGGCGUGGUCUCCCCAAGGGACUUCGUGAAUGUCCGGCGCAUUGAGCGGCGCAGGGACCGAUACUUGUCAUCAGGGAUCGCCACCUCACACAGUGCCAAGCCCCCGACGCACAAAUAUGUCCGGGGAGAGAAUGGCCCUGGGGGCUUCAUCGUGCUCAAGUCGGCCAGUAACCCCCGUGUCUGCACCUUUGUCUGGAUUCUUAAUACAGAUCUCAAGGGCCGCCUGCCCCGGUACCUCAUCCACCAGAGCCUCGCGGCCACCAUGUUUGAAUUUGCCUUUCACCUGCGACAGCGCAUCAGCGAGCUGGGGGCCCGGGCAUGACUGUGCCCCCUCCCACCCUGCAGGCCAGGGUCCUGUCGCCACCACUUCCAGAGCCAGAAAGGGUGCCAGUUGGGCUCGCGCUGCCCACAUGGGACCUGGCCCCAGGCUGUCACCCUCCACCGAGCCACGCAGUGCCUGGAGUUGACUGUCUGAGCAGGCUGUGGGGUGGAGCACUGGACUCCGGGGCCCCACUGGCUGGAGGAAGUGGGGUCUGGCCUGUUGAUGUUUACAUGGUGCCCUGCCUCCUGGAGGAGCAGAUUGCUCUGCCCCGCCUUGCCAGGGCAGGGUCUGGGCUGGGCACCUGACUUGGCUGGGGAGGACCAGGGCCCUGGGCAGGGCAGGGCAGCCUGUCACCCAUGUGAAGAUGAAGGGGCUCUUCAUCUGCCUGCGCUCUCGUCGGUUUUUUUAGGAUUAUUGAAAGAGUCUGGGACCCUUGUUGGGGAGUGGGUGGCAGGUGGGGAUGGGCUGCUGGCCAUGAAUCUCUGCCUCUCCCAGGCUGUCCCACUCCUCCCAGGGCCUCCUGGGGGACCUUUGUAUUAAGCCAAUUAAAAACAUGAAUUAAAAAAAAAAAAAA
rnacentral:sRNA from 1 species